rnacentral:rRNA from 1 species
UGAGCAACCUGCCCUUUGACCCUGGAAUAACAGCUGGAAACAGCUGCUAAUACCGUAUACGACCUCCGACGGCAUCAUCUGGAGGUGGAAAGCUCCGACGGUCAAGGAUGGGCUCGCGGCCUAUCAGCUUGUUGGUGAGGUAAUGGCUCACCAAGGCGACGACGGGUAGCCGGCCUGAGAGGGUGACCGGCCACACUGGGACUGAGACACGGCCCAGACUCCCGUAGGGA